rnacentral:rRNA from 1 species
UACGUAGGGUGCGAGCGUUGUCCGGAAUUAUUGGGCGUAAAGAGCUUGUAGGCGGUCUGUCGCGUCUGCUGUGAAAAUCCGGGGCUCAACCCCGGACUUGCAGUGGGUACGGGCAGACUAGAGUGUGGUAGGGGAGACUGGAAUUCCUGGUGUAGCGGUGAAAUGCGCAGAUAUCAGGAGGAACACCGAUGGCGAAGGCGGCUCUCUGGGACGGUACUGACGCUGAGACGCGAAAGCGUGGGGAGCAAACAGG